rnacentral:lncRNA from 1 species
AGUUGUGUUUGAUCAUAACCACUUUAAAAUGUUUUUGUUUGGAGUGGACCAAAUUGCUCUAAGUGAAAGUACUCUUCAGAUGCUUCUCUGCUAUUCCUACACCUUCUUCCCCCAAAGUUAUUAUGAACACCUGCAUUGCUAUCUAUAUAGUAUUAUGUUGUUAGAGUAAAAUAUAUGAAUAUUUACCUUUUAAUAUAUAUCUAUUGAACAAGAUCAUCUUUUUCUAAAUGAAAACAAUUUGAUGAAGGUGUCUCAAGUAUAUCUAGUUCUUUUGUGUAAUUCCCAAGCUAUUUAUUCACACUUCCUUUUAAACAAAUCUUUUUAAUUUUUAGUGCUGUUAGUAAUUAUCUUUCCUCUUUUAAAUAUUGUGUUGAGCUGGCAUUUAAAAUGCUUGUUAUGAUCUCUGGUUCUUAAAUUGUUUUGCAGAACUGACUUACAUAGCCUAUGUUCUUUGAAAGAGAAAAAAAGAAGGAAGAGAAGGAUGAUUCUCUUAAAUGAGUACUUGUUAUAUAGUCUGUCACAGAGACCUGCCCGCUGGCCUACAGCGAAGAGCUAAGACCAAAGCAAAAUGAUGUAACUGCAGGAUUAGUGGGCAGCUGCAGUAACAUCAGUGUGGAAAUAUGUCUUACGAUGGAUCUAGAAACAGAGCUUUCUAAAUUAGAUGAGACAUUUGACUGUAAACUGUACACUGCUCAGUGACGUUGUAUGAGUGGUUUUAAAACGUUUUGAAGGAGAAAUAGACCUGGCUGGAAGAAUGGGUGAAUUACACCUUUGGAUAAUAGAACUCAUUCGUAGAAUUCAACCUAGAACAGUUUAUCAGCCACCAAAAUCAUGAGCAUUAUGUUGUUACAUAAAUUGAAUUUAGAUUGCCAUCCGUUUCCUUUCAGAUAACUGUCUGCAUCUGAAAGAUGCCUCUUCUUUAUGACACGAGGCCAGUCAGGAGCUAACUUGACAGCAUGUGUAUGUGGACGUGUUCAGAUGGUGUCAGUUCGGGAAAGUAGAACAAACAUGCAGCUGCACCCACCUCAACAUGUGGACAGCCCCACAGGUAAAAAAAUCUUCUGGCAGGGGUGGAACAUACUAGUGCUGUAAGGAAAGUCAUUUUGUGGGCCUACAGAUGAUUUGCUGUACAGAACUUAGAAUAUUUUGUCAGAUGUUAUAUGCACAAAAGAUAACAUUAUAGAUAUGUCUGUGCUCUUUAGAAUCAGAUAUCUGUUGCUAUGAGUUGACUUACCACAGCAGAGUUCGGUCUAAAUAGAUAACUGGAUUUUCA